GGUCCUAUACGGAUUGACCAUGCCUUGGCUCUGGUUUGACAAUGCAUGCUUCCAGCAGGAUGCACAGCCAACUAUGGAUCGCGUGCUCUGCCAAAAGGACCCUAGUACCCUACCACGUGGAAUAGGUUGGUCCCUAAUGAUGGGAGUCUCUCCUCAGACUGCUGAAAAUGUCAUGGUUUCUGUGGACCAGAUCGUCCUGAAUGGCCUUCGUCGAUGCUGAUGGUGACUAUUCAAAAUCAACCCAGAUGAGGUGUCCAAAGUGGAGAACAAUUCAAGAAAGCAGCAUGCAAUCAAUCCAAAAGAUAUUUCUCUGAUCUCACUGAUUGCAAACUAUGAAUGGAGGGAGUAGUCUUGCGCACGCACACAAACAGGUAUUUAAAUCCACUGACUGCAGCAGUCAAGAAACAGGCAAAUUAUUAUUUUUUUAAACACUUGAACAAAAUGUUAGAACUGAAUGUUUUUACAUGAGUAUGUUGUAAGUUGCUUUUAAGUGAAUGUUUGACACAGUUAAAGUUUCAGUUCAAUAAAUGUUUUUGGAACGACAAACCUUGUCCUACACACAUCACCCCCCGCCCCCCCGAUAUAGUUGUGGAUUAGGAAGACAGAAUAAUAAAUUCACCUGAAUUUUAUAACCAAAAUGUUUUUAAAAAUCGGUUAUUUGCUGCUUUAAUUGAAUUUACUAUCCGUAAAUAUCAAGUGUAUAGUUCCAGAAAUG